GUGAUAGCUAUGGAAACUUGUGUCAGACACACACUCUACGAGCCUCUUCUAGCUGUUGCUGCAGUGGGCCAGCCAGCAGUCCCCAGAGUUUGUGUACUCCCAUCACGGCCAGUGUUGGGUGAGACCCUUUGCCACGGGGGGUGGGACCUAGGCAGCCCAAGAAGAGACCGGAUAAUGCAACCUGGACGUGCCUGGAAAUACAUUCACAGUGAGAAAACAUACCGAAGUGAGAGACCAGAGACAGGAAGGAGGCGACAGAUGAAUUCUCUUUCCUUCUCUUCCAUGGCGGAUUGCAAAGAUGUGGUUUCACCUUGCAGCUCGCUCAGUUGGAGAAAUCGCAGGUGCAAUUGAACAUACCUGGCCACGCCACCGGCUGCAGCUCCUCAUGGCUCUGGUGUCACCACGGUGGUGACACACCACUUUGCAUUGUUGCCCGUCUUCAAAAGAUACAUUUAAAAACACAUUUCCAGUGCUAGUUAUGACAAAGGGCAAGACUGUGGUUGUGUUGCUGUUCACUCUAAGGUGGAGUUAGGGUGUCUGUUUCACUGCUAAGGGAACUUGCAGUUUUCUGGAGUAAUUGUGCCUUUUUCUGUCUCCUCUAGCUCAGGUGAUCUGCCUGUGAUGCUCCUCAAAGGAGUGAACGUCUCAUCAGAACUUCCUGCAGUCAGCAGGGGGCCUGCAUCACCUGCAGUGAUGGAACAGACGUCUUUAAUCCAUCAAGACGUUCUCCGUGUGAGCCAGGAGCCAGCCUCACAGGCCUCCAUGCAGCCCCGCCAAUCAACCCAAGAUGGCACCCCCUCCUCCAGGAAGCCUCCUUGCUUCAGCCCCAGAGUCGUUUUUGAUGAAUUGCAACUAAAUAUUCAGGCUGAGCUGAGGACUGAAGAUAAAUUUGAGCAUUGAGCAGUACACCU